AAUGCAUAAAAAUCAUGCACUGGAAUGAAGAGAGCAGCUGAAGUUUGUGUAAAUCUGGAAAACCAAUGACAGAAAAAGCCUUUCCCUUUUCUCCAGAGCAGUUCACGACCUGCUCUCACACCUAUCCAUGAUAAAUGUGUUCACUCCUAGAGGAACUGAGUUGCUCAAAGCCACAAUUAGCUUUCUGUGCAGUUCUCACAGUAGAAGCCAGGAUGGUCAUCACCUCAGUUCCCCCACACACAAUGAAAAACUGAAUAAAAAAAUCAGCCCCUACAUGCUGUCUGCAGUUAAAAAUCUGGUUGAUGUGGCAGUAACUUGAAUUUCCUAUGUUGACUAUAUCCACACAUUAAAGCCAUGUUUAAAUGCUUAUUCAUUUUAUUCUGCUUUUCUACUAACACCUGAUCUUCAUAGUGAGAAAUGCAUGACCUACAAGGCAGCAGGUCAGUGGGGAAUAAUGAAGGGCUUAAUUACUUCCCCUAUUUAGCAUCAAACUACCAAUUAGAAGCAGCUUCUGGGAAAGCCUGAAGCCCAAAGGGCAGAAAGGGAAAAAGUUCCUUAGGAGGAUUUGAGUUUGCCAUGGGAGAAAUACAUGAGGAAAGCCUGCUGGUACUGAGAGGUGCCAGUCCUCAUUCAAGGAGCAGAUUGGUGAGAAUCAGAUGAGGAGUGUUCCUUCUCCUCUGAGUGUGGGUGUGCACAGACAUAAAGUGAGACGAAUGCAGUCAGGAACUCUGCCUGAAAACAAAGACAGUUCUAGGGAACAACUUGGGAGCAAGUCUGGCUUCCCAAGCGCAGACUCUAAAACUCCUACCUCUCU